rnacentral:rRNA from 1 species
UACGGGGGGGGCAAGCGUUGUUCGGAAUUACUGGGCGUAAAGGGCUCGUAGGUGGCCAACUAAGUCAGACGUGAAAUCCCUCGGCUUAACCGGGGAACUGCGUCUGAUACUGGAUGGCUUGAGUUUGGGAGAGGGAUGGCGGAAUUCCAGGUGUAGCGGUGAAAUGCGUAGAAUAUCUGGAGGAACACCGGUGGCGAAGGCGGCAUCCUGGACCAAUACUGACAU